rnacentral:lncRNA from 1 species
GAAGAUCCUAAAGAGGAGCGUGAAAGGACGGGGGGUGUGCAGAAUACCAAUGGCUAAUCAUGAGAUGAGCCAGCAAGCAGCAUGUGUGGGAGUUGCCAGUGGAACUCUGGUGCAGUGCUUGAAAGAACAUAGAGAUGAUAUAGGGAAAAGGGCUAGAUUGACGAUGGCCUUGGCGAGGAACGCCUGUGCUGCGGGUCUCACUAUACAUUGGGACCGGGAGAAGGUGAUGGGGCCUCUGAUUGGCGGGUCGCAGGCCCUUAGUGCGGAGGCCCUGGAAAUCCUAGGAUGGUGAGGCUGAUCACCUCCUGAAUGAGCAUCCUGCCUUGCAGAUGCCGCAACCAUGGA